rnacentral:rRNA from 1 species
AUUGAACGCUGGCGGCAGGCCUAAUACAUGCAAGUCGAACGACUCGCGGACGGGUGAGUAAUUUCUUUUAAACUGCCCGAUGGAGGGUGAUAACUAUUGGAAACGGUAGCUAAUACCGCUUACGAUCGGAUGUGCCCAGGGGGGAUUAGGUAGUCGGUGGGGUAACGGCUCACCUAGUCGACGAUCCAUAGCUGGUCUGAGAGGAUGACCAGCAACGCUGGAAAUGAGACACGGUCCAGACUCCUACGGGAGGCCGCAGUGGGGAAUAUGACACAAUGGGCGCAAGCAUGAUGGAGCAAUGCCGCGUGUAUGAAGAAGGCGUUCGGGUUGUAAAGUACUUUAAGCGGGGAGGCGUUACUGGGAGAAGAAGCAGCGGCUAACUACGUGCAAGCAGCCGCGGUAAUAC